rnacentral:rRNA from 1 species
GCAAGUCGCACGGGACUAUUUGAGUAGCAAUACAAGAAUAGUUUAGUGGCGCAUUGGUGAGUAACACGUGAAUUACAUGCCCUGCAGAGGGGGAUAGCCCAGGGAAACUUGGAUUAAUACCCCAUGGUAUCGCGAGAUUAAAGGUGGCCUUAUGAAAGUAAGGCUGUCGCUGCAGGAUUGGUUCGCGCCCUAUCAGCUUGUUGGUGAGGUAACGGCUCACCAAGGCUACGACGGGUACCUGGUCUGAGAGGACGAUCAGGCACACUGGAACUGAGACACGGUCCAGACACCUACGGGUGGCAGCAGUCGAGAAUAAUUCACAAUGGGGGCAACCCUGAUGGUGCAACGCCGCGUGGAGGAUGAAGGUCUUCGGAUUGUAAACUCCUGUCAUCCGGGAGUAAGACCUGGCGAUGAAUAGUCGACAGGGUUGAUAGUACCGGAAGAGGAAGGGACGGCUAACUUCGUGCCAGCAGCCGCGGUAAUACGAAGGUCCCGAGCGUUGUUCGGAAUCACUGGGCGUAAAGGGAGCGUAGGCGGCGUGGUAAGUCAGAUGUGAAAUCCCGGGGCUCAACCCCGGAACUGCAUCCGAUACUGCCGUGCUAGAGGAUUGGAGAGGUAGCUGGAAUUCACGGUGUAGCAGUGAAAUUCGUAGAUAUCGUGAGGAACACUCGUGGCGAAAGCGAGCUACUGGACAACUCCUGACGCUGAGGCUCGAAGGCCAGGGUAGCGAAAGGGAUUAGAUACCCCUGUAGUCCUGGCAGUAAACGGUGCACGCUUGGUGUGAGGGGAAUCGACCCCCCUUGUGCCGGAGCAAACGCGUUAAGCGUGCCGCCUGGGAAGUACGGUCGCAAGACUAANACUCAAAGAAAUUGACGGGGACCCGCACAAGCGGUGGAGUAUGUGGCUUAAUUCGAU